rnacentral:rRNA from 1 species
CAAUAGCGUAUAUUAAAGUUGUUGCGGUUAAAAAGCUCGUAGUUGGAUUUCUGCUGAGGACGACCGGUCCGCCCUCCGGGUGAGCAUCUGGUUCGGCCUGGCAUCUUCUUGGUGAACGUAUCUGCACUUGACUGUGUGGUGCGGUACCCAGGACUUUUACUUUGAGGAAAUUAGAGUGUUUCAAGCAGGCAUACGCCUUGAAUACAUUAGCAUGGAAUAAUAAGAUAGGACCUCGGUUCUAUUUUGUUGGUUUCUAGAGCUGAGGUAAUGAUUAAUAGGGAUAGUUGGGGGCAUUCGUACUGGGCCGCCAGAGGUGAAAUUCUUUUAACUGGCUCAUGACGAACCACUGCGAAAGCAUUUGCCAAGAAUGUUUUCAUUAAUCAAGAACGAAAGUCAGAGGGUCGAAGAUGAUUAGAU